GUGUAACAACUCACCUGCCGAAUGCAUCAGCCCUGAAAAUGGAUGGCGCUCAAGCGCGUGGCCGAUACACCGCCGCCGGAGCGAAGCUUAGGCUCCGGUGAGUAGGAGGGCGUCGGGCUCGUGUAGAAGCUUUGGGCGUGAGCCCGGGUGGAACGGGCUCGAGUGCAGAUCUUGGUGGAAGUAGCGAAUAUUCAAGCGAGAACCUUGAGGACUGGAGUGGAGAAGGGUUCCAUGUACACAGCGAUUGGACAUGGGUGAGUCGAUCCUAAGAGAUUGGGUAAUUCCGUGAGAGAAGCGCGUAGAGCGCAAUCCAUCGAAAGGGAAACGGGUUAAUAUUCCCGUACCAGGAAGCGGGGUGGACGCGGUAACGCAAAUGAACCCGGGGACACCGGCGUAGGCUCUGGGGAGAGUUCUCUUUUCUGCUUAACAGAUCUACUGUCCAUGGAAUCGGGUUAUCCGGAGAAAUGGCAGUGCGGCUGGAAGAACGGCGCCCUCGUGCGUCGUCCGGUAUGCCUCCGUCGGUCCUUGAAAACCCGGGGGAAAAUCUUGACCUUCGUACCUGGUCGUACCCAGAACCGCAUCAGGUCUCCAAGGUGAUUAGCCUCUGGUCGAUAGAAUAAUG
rnacentral:rRNA from 1 species